ensembl:lncRNA
CAACACGGACUGACGGACACAUACAGGCGUGCAGCAUCAAGAUGCCGCUGGAUAUUAUUCAUCUCGGUGAUACGGGAAUCUGCAAAGCUAAUGUGCACGUUUGUGGUUGGACUCAAAAUUCCAUUCAAAAGAGCGGCUAUUUAAUGUGGACUCGGCUACUGGCACACCGUUAUUCACCAUCAAAUAUCAUACUAGACACCAAGUUAAUGCACGCAGGUAUCCGUCCGUCCCUGUGCUGCUGUGUUCUUGUGUUCUCUUGGAUUCAAUGAUGGAGACCAUCACCUGACUCACACAGGGGAUUCACCACAAAAUCACACAAAAUUAUUUCCUGCACGCAAGUUUACCAAAAACUCCUGCUGGGCCUCCGGCAGCGCCCCCGUGUGGACGGACAUCUAUACGGCAGCACUGUGAGGGAGGUGGGGAGCAGGGCUCCUCUGCUCACAGGACCUUUAUUUAAUGGAGAAUGGUUGAAACAUCUGUGUGGCCUUUGCCUUUAAUGGGACCUUUUCUGGUUAAAUACUGGACUUUGUAUGUUACUUAUACCUUUCUAUUCGUUUCAGGGGUCGUUGUAAAGUCUCUCUCUUGGCUAAAAAACUAUCAAUGUGGUUUAUGAGGCAGUAUUAUAAGAAUGCAAUUGUGAAUGAUGAAAUCUUGUGUCUACACAUAUUUAGUAUUCGUCUUUAGUAUUCUAUGUUAAAAGGGUUAGAAAUUCUGAACACUAGUCGGCGCUGUUCGGCAUCUGGAGGUGAGAGGGUAUAAAGUGAGGGAGAGAAGAGGGUAAAAUGAUGUUAAUGCUACACUAUUAUUCCACAUGUAUUGUUCAGUUUAUAUAACAUUCAAAAUGACACCAGACCUUGGCAUUACUUUAACAGUAAAAAUAAUUCCUUAUUUUACAGAAGAGACAAUUAAAUCUAUCAUACAGCAGUUCACACUCAGCCAAACAGCAGCUACACUAGAGGCAGACUCAGUAGGAUAAGUCUAAUUCUAAUAUAGAUAUAAGUAUACAGUACAUGUAGUAUUACCCGGCACUUACAUGAAUGUAAAGUUCUGUUGUUCAAUAAACAUUAACUAUAAAUGAUCAUACGACAUUUAUGCUCAUUUAUUUAAGGAUCAUUCAUCUAUUUGUUUGUUUUACUAUUAUGUGACCAGUGUCCCGAGGCUUGUGUUGUCAUUCUGAAUUAUUAAGUGACAUCACAUUGCACUGUGCAGCAGUAACAUUGUUAACUCAACAUAACGUGUGAAUCAGUGUGUCAUCACAAACCGCAGGUUCUCCACGCUGCAGACGUCACACGCACACAAUAUCUCAAUAAAGCAACAUCGAUUGCAGGAAGAGAGCGAGCGUGUAGGAGGUUAUCAAGUGUUUCUGUGCAAAGAGAAUAAAUGCAACAGCCCACUAAUCCCCCGAAAGGUUGGAUAAGACGGUCGCAGAUGACAGAUGUGCUUUCCUCAUGUGUGUGUGUGUGUGUGUGUGUGUGUGCGUGAGAGAGCGAUGUACUGUGUUUUCCUGCCUCCGUCCUAUAAUAAGUGUGUCAGUGCGAGAUUGUGAGGCUGAACAUUUGUGUGUUGCAAAUGCCGCUAAAGCUGCUGUUUUGUGAUUGGCUGCUGCCCACACACACACACUCAAUAUGCACCCCGCUGGCCCUGAGAUGUGAGAGAGGGAGGGAGAGAGGGUGAUGUAAAGGGUAAAGACAGCAGUAAUAUAAGAGAGGAGAGAGCUACAACGCUGUAGGAGGAGAACGCGAGCUCCCAGUGAUCCCAGUGAUCCCAGUGAUCCCAGUGGACGUCACACCAGCUGAACCGCUGGAGCAGCAGAGAGCAACAGCUGGGCUAAGGCGGACGCCAGCUGAGCUAACGGAUGGUAACCCCGACAACGAUAACUAUAACGACUCCGCCCGUCCAGGACAGUCAUCAGAUCCAGUUACCAUGGAGAGCAGUUCAUCUCCACCGGCAACACACACGGAUAGUGAAAACUCGGGGCAAAGCCUUUGGGGCGACCAGGAAGCGGAGGAGCACCAUUACACAGAGGUCCAUGGGCUGAAGCAGCCAAUCGGGGACGAGCAGGACGAAGAAGAGGCUGCAGGGAAAGAAAAUGUCGUCAGGGAUGCAGAUGAGUGUGAUUACCUUGUGUUUGCAAUCGGAGAGCGAAAUGGGAAUGAUAAAGGAGAUGAAAGUGGACAGGACACGGGUAGAGGAGGAGAUAAGGUAGAAGAUGGAGAAAGAGGGGAAACAGAAGGAAAGGAAGAAGGAAGUGGAGCUACAGUGAGGGAAGAUGGAGGAAGAGGAGGUGAAAAAGAAGAGGAUGAAUGCAUAGGAGAGACAGUGGGCGAGAUGAGUAAUGAUGCUCCGUCAAAGCUCCUCCUCAUCUCUUGCAGCCCGGAGCGUCUUUCAUCAUCAGAGCCCCUGAUGGUCCCCUCAUGUCCCUCAGAGCAGCCCAUGGAGGCCAUGUUGCAAGAGGCCUUAGGUCACAACAUUGGCGAAAGAGAUGACCUCAGUGACGUCCAGCACACAGGCUUCCCCCAAGCUGAGGUGGCUAGUGUGUACUCGGACAGCGACGCAGGGGACGGCCAGUGGGCUAGCUUUGCACGCUGUGAUGUCACCAACCAGGAAGAAGCAGGCGGAGGAAUUCACAAUACCACCUGUGAAGGAGAGAGCAAGGAAGAGGAGGGAGGAGGAGCCGAUAAGGGGAGAGCCGAAGAACAGUUUGAGGCAGAAGAAGCGAGUGAAACACAGGACCAAAGGGAGGAGGAGGAGGAGGAGGAGGAGGGGAGCAGACACGUGGAUGAUGAAGAGCAGAUGACGUCCAGGAGAGAUCUAUUUCCACGCACACCUUCUGUCAGCUCCACGGGCAGCUCCACAGAGCCUGACAGAAAGGCUCCCGUGGAUCUCUGUGUCCAAGAAGAGGCCCACAGUGGAAACGUCUCCACUGAGCAUGUGGACUUUCUGUUGGCCCGACAGCAGUGGAGGAAGAUGGAGGAGGAGGUCAAAGGUCAGCCAAUCCCCAAACCAGGCCUCAGAGCUCAGGGGAGCUUCCAGGGCACCCACAGCUCCCUGUACCCGCCCACUCGCAGCCCCCGACUCAAACACAGGGAGAUCCAUCCUGCAGCGGCCAUGGAGCCCACGCUGUCCUCCACCCUGUCCUCCACCCUGUCCCCCGGCUCGGAGGACUCGGGCCUGGAGGAGCCGGAGAGUGCAGUGGAGAGAGAGAUCCGCCGGACUCUGGAGAGGGAGGAAUGCCACCGGAGAGAGAGGGGGGGGGUCACACAGGGCCUCACCGUACCCAGAGCCUCCACCGGGCAGAGCGGACGAUCUCCCCCCAGACCUCCAGCGUGCCGCACCCCUACACUGUCCAUCUCCCCUUCUCCUUCCUCUUCUCUUCCCCGAUCUGUCUACCAUGAGAUGACGGCCAAUAAUGUCAUUAUCCUGGAGCCCGGCUGCUCCGGCUCCACCUCCAGAAACCUCUUACUCUCCUCCGCCACCGAUUGGCCGCUUAGCCAGGAUGCUGUGCCCUCCGCCAACGUCAUCGUCGUUGAGACCUCUAACGUGAUCAUUCGCAGCGCAUCCGAAUUCUGUCUAAGCUCCGCCCCCGUGUCCGCGGAGACCCAGGAGAGCACCUUCUCGUCCAAUCCGUUCUUUAAGCUACGCUCCAUCAGCAGCCAAUCGCUGGUGGAGCGGGAGAUCCGCAUGGUGAGGCAGAGGGAGGAGGAAUGGAGGAGGCAGCGGGAGGAGAUGUGGAGGAGGAGGAGGGAGGAGGAGUGGAGGAGAGGGAGAGAGAGGUACGACACCGUGCUGGUGUCUCCUGGCCUGAGCGAUAACAUCAGCUACAACGUGCCAGAGGUCCUAGAUAGAUGUGUGUCCUCUCCUUCGUCCCCCUCCAGGACCCGCAAAAUGGAAAGAUCCAGCAUGUCUUGUGACCACAAGUUCCCCUCAUCCCUCUCUCUGACGCCGAAGCGACCGAACGCCAUGGCGCAGCGAUGGGAGGCCUCCCUAUUAGCCAAUCAGAAGAAGGAGUGACCAUUUCAAAGCCCACAAUGAGAUCCGACGCCUCCGUUCCUUCCUGCUUCUCUCCAGAAAAGUCACACGGUGUACUGUAAGGUCUUUGAAAAGGUGUGGCUUGAACCCGUGGGUCACAGAUGUGCUGUCUGCGGGACGUCCUGUGAGAAGAGGACUGGUCCUGUCCAACAGCUUUGUUUCAAAGAGUAAGGUUUGGCUUUCCUUAAUGCUUGAACGUCUGAAAAGGUCCUGCUUUCAAACUCAAACUGGUCUGCUGCAUGAUCUGUGAAACAUUGGGGCACAAUGCCACACGUAGGACAUUGUUUAUUAUAGAUAAUAACUUCAUUGACUCAUUCACAAUACUAACCGCAGUCAUAGUACCACCACUGUUUUUGACAUGUCAUGCAGACUUCUAUGUAAACUUUAGAAACACAAUAUUUAUUAUUACCAGUAACACAAUUUGAUUUCGAGCUAUUUAUAAAUGAUGGCAAACAGAUAUGCAUUGAGUUGUAUGACUAUGAAAAAGGUCUUGGCAGUUGCAUUUUAAUUUUAGAUAAAGUAUGAAUUUAGUCCCUAUAUUUUUGAUGUGAUGAACAUAUACAGCGUAUAUUUUACCGUAUUGUAGCUGCGUAGGGGUUUGAGAAGUGACAUUCAAAAAUGAUUUAGCAUGUUCUUUACAAAUGACAAUUCAUAGCAUUUAAGUGCCAACUCAGACUGAAAAAAUCACUGCCUUAAGCCGCUGAGAACAGCACACACACACACACACACACACACACACACACAGAAAGACAAAAAAUGAAUCCAUCAUCCAUUUCGCACAUCAUCUCUUUUCCACAAAGGCAAAACACGUAUUCAAGUAUAAAAAAACUGUCCUAUUUUAUGGAAAAUCAUUUUUUAUGGAAAUGUAAGAAUGGAAACUGGCACAUUCUUUCCCCUUGUUAUGACCCGCCCUACUCCGCCUCUGAUUGGCUGCUCAUCGUGGCCUUUGGUUUGGUUGUGAGAUGAUGAAAAACGGUAGAGCCACAGGGACGGAGCCGGUGGCUCAAUUAGCUUACAGCUAACGGAGGUAUAGUUACUUUGUUACUUUAGCGGUAUUUCAAAAUUAUAUAAUUAACUCGAGUAUUCACAUGGCUUUAAAAAAAGCUGUCAAUUCCACAUUUGUAGCCCAAAGGUUUUAUGCGUGGAGCACACUGUUGUUAUUGCUAUAUAACUGUCCGUGGCUGUGAUGUUCAAGCAAUAUAACUGAAGCACUUCUAAAACAGAGAUUCUAAUCCAGUCUAGUGAAGACUUUUACAUAUUUUAUGUCAUGUUUUGAUUCCUAAAAAGAGAAUUGUUUUAUUGAAUUUGUGCUGCAUAUAUUUAUUGAAUCGGGACAAGCUUAUGAAUCCUUAAAGCUUUUAUUUCUAAAAGGUUCAUAAUAUAUUGUGUCAGAAUGGCUGCAUGAAUUGAAGGUCUGCGAUGUUUUUUAGAUGGAUCUUUUCUGUGGAGUGUGUGUGCGUGAUAAUAAUAAUAAUCCAUCCUCAAUACAUCGUACAUAAAUAGAAAUCCUUCCUCCUUAUUUUGUAGCUCCAGAAGGAGCUCACUGGGUUCCUGAUGAACUCAACUGUCUAUUACAGGUGCAUUCAAGUCAACUCAGAAAUAAGAGACUUCACCUGCCAGGUUGCGAAUAAUACCAGGCGAGUAGAAUGCUAGUGGGUUUUUAUGAAUAUAUUCUGAUUGUGCUCUGAGCAUCGAUGUGAUGUAACACUGUGUUAAGGAAUAAACUCUCCAUCCGCUAAUAAAGUGCAUUUCAGCUGUGAGUUCCUGUGCAGCCUGAAGAUGUGUCCAAACAUCUGACGGGGCUACGAUCUAUACUUUCUGCAAUCAAUUUGCAGAGGUUUGGAUGUUCUUGAAAUGUGCUGUAUUGCAUGUGAAAGAAGUCGGUUACAGUGCGUCCACUCUUCACACUGGCUGUUUCUGCCCCAUCUCACCACACCACACCCAGUGGCAAUGUGAGGAAACGGAAAAACUAUAUACUAUAAUAUUGUGUUGGCAGCAGAAGGACAUGAGCAUCAGUAAAUAUUGGCUUUGUGUGUUUUCUUGCACACUCGAGUCACGUCAGAUGGGGUUGGUACGUUGUUACAUUGUUACAUCGUUUCGCUAUUAUUUUCACACAAUCCUUGAACUUGUUAUUCAAGGCCCAUAUUUAACAUCAUUUUGACGUACCAUGCCAGCGUUGUUUGCAUGUCAUGGUGUUGCUGCGUUAGCUUUGCUGUAUGAAGGCACAGUAGAUAUAUAUAUAUAUAUAUAUAUAUAUAUAUAUAUAUACCUGGUCUGCAUCCAGUUUAGUGGGACAGCUGAACUGAUACUUUAUAACUGUAGUUUUAAGAAGGAUGUGCAUUUGUGAAUACACUGUGUGACAGAAUAUUCCGUACGGCUCCUAGAAACAGCUUUUCCUCACGAGCCGAGCAUCAUUUAUUCAGGUUCUGUUCUUUUCUUAGUUUAUUUGCCUUGCGCUUCAUUCAUUUAUUGUUGCCAAAUGAAAGGUCUUGUGAUGACAUCUUCAAUAAAACGUAACUUCUGAAACCCGCAA